rnacentral:rRNA from 1 species
UGGGGAAUAUUGGACAAUGGGCGCAAGCCUGAUCCAGCAAUGCCGCGUGAGUGAUGAAGGCCUUAGGGUUGUAAAGCUCUUUUGCCAGGGAAGAUGAUGACUGUACCUGGAGAAUAAGCCCCGGCUAACUUCGUGCCAGCAGCCGCGGUAAUACGAAGGGGGCUAGCGUUGUUCGGAAUUACUGGGCGUAAAGGGCGCGUAGGCGGCCGUUUAAGUUAGGUGUGAAAGUCCUGGGCUUAACCUGGGGACUGCACUUGAUACUGGAUGGCUUGAAUUCGGGAGAGGAUAGCGGAAUUCCCAGUGUAGAGGUGAAAUUCGUAGAUAUUGGGAAGAACACCGGUGGCGAAGGCGGCUAUCUGGACCGACAUUGACGCUGAGGCGCGAAAGCGUGGGGAGCAAACAGG